rnacentral:misc_RNA from 1 species
UGGUUCCGGCAUCGAUGAAGAACGCAGCGAAAUGCGAUAAGUAAUGUGAAUUGCAGAAUUCAGUGAAUCAUCGAAUCUUUGAACGCAUAUUGCGCCCUCUGGUAUUCCGGUGGGCAUGCCUGUUCGAGCGUCAUUGAACAUCCCUCAAGCUCUGCUUGGUGUUGGGCGCCGCCGCGAGAGCGGCGCGCCCCAAAUGAAUUUUGGCUGCGGGGUUCCUCUCCGAGCGCUGUGAGGCGUACCAACGUCAUGCGUUACGGGGCGGGCCUGGCGGGCCAGCAAACAACAAAGUGGGAUCUUCCACUCCUCGUUUGACCUCGGAUCAGGUAGGGUUACCCGCUGA